rnacentral:rRNA from 1 species
AUUGAACGCUGGCGGCAGGCCUAACACAUGCAAGUCGAGCGGAUGAAUGGAGCUUGCUCCUGGAUUCAGCGGCGGACGGGUGGGUAAUGCCUAGGAAUCUGCCUGGUAGUGGGGGAUAACGUCCGGAAACGGUCGCUAAUACCGCAUACGUCCUGAGGGAGAAAGUGGGGGAUCUUCGGACCUCGCGCUAUCAGAUGAGCCUAGGUCGGAUUAGAUAGUUGGUGGGGUAAAGGCCUACCAAGGCGACGAUCCGUAACUGGUCUGAGAGGAUGAUCAGUCACACUGGAACGGAGACAAGGUCCAGACUCCUACGGGAGGCAGCGGUGGGGAAUAUUGGACAAUGGGCGAAAGCCUGGUCCAGCCAUGCCGCGUGUGUGAAGAAGGUCUUCGGAUUUGAAAGCACUUUAAGUUGGGAGGAAGGGCAGUAAGUUAAUACCUUGCUGUUUUGACGUUACCAACAGAAUAAGCACCGGCUAACUUCGUG